CCAUAUAUACCAUUCCCCUCCUAGAUCUAGGGUUAGCAAAAGCAAAGACAGGAAUGGACAUUGAUAGAGCUUUGCUCAUCUACCCUCCCCCCUUGUGGUAAUCCUCUAUGUUGGAGAAGAAUCCAUUGGAGUAGAAGGCCACCCACUUGGUGAGACUCUAAGGAGUACAAGGGGCCAAUCAGGUGAACCCUCCAUGAGCACACAAGACCUCCUUCUAUGGAGAAUAUGUAUCUUGUAUUACAUCUUGUGUGUUGAUUUGUGCUAGUUUUCCUUGUGUUUCCUCUUGAUUUCCUCCAAUUUCUUCGUGUCCUUCCUCAAAUCCAUCCCCAAUUUGUGAUAAUCAGGUCACCCAACGACUUAACCUAUAUCAUUUGGUGUCAUGAGCAAGGUUGCCAUCAAUUGGACCCCCUCCCCUCAAUCUGCUAGCCUUGUUUUGUUUUGUCUUGCCCAAAUUUAAAAUUUCCUGAAAAUAGCCCAAAGUCAAUUUCAAGCUCUCCGUUGGAUUUCAUGACUUUUGGUUGGUUUUGAUCCAUCGAUCUCAUGCAAAACUAGUUGAUCUACCUUCCUUUGCAUGGAUUUAGCCCAAUUUUUCUUUCCCCACUUUUUUGAGCCAGAAAAUCGAUUUGGUCCACCUCGGGUUCAUCCUGGAUCUUCCUGUGCAUGUUCAACAUUGCUCGGAUAUGCCUCGGAUGCUCCGUCAUGCCAAAUCCGCUGACUUGAAUUCAUAUAGUCUAACCUUCUAUAGAGAGCAAACAAAAAAAUUAGCAUUGGGUGUUUUGGUCAUAUCUUCACAUCCGGAUUCCGGUUUGGUGUUCUUGGGCUCAUUUUGAAGAUAAGAAAAUGUUCUUGAUCAUCACCUAUGUUUCCACGUCAUUUAGUUGAAAUGAAAUUUCAGUAUUUUGGCAUCUUUCCUAUUCCUUCCACUAUGUAAACUUGAAGACGUGUGCAUCUUUGUCAGUUUCACACACAGGCCCAAUAAUGGGGCACCCCUUUCGGCUUUGGGGCCAAGCCUCCCUUGCGGCUAGGGUUUGGGGCCACCCCUUUGUGAUGAGGACAUCACUACUACAGUAACACCCACAACUCCUGCUUCUACAUAUAAUGGACCAAUUACUAGAGCUCGUGCACGCCAACUAAAUUAUCAGGUACUUUGGUUUCUUGGUAAUGAUUCUAAUGUUUAUGAGAAUACGAUGUUGCCUAAACUGGAUACUUUUGUUUUGCUUAAAAUGAAGGACCCAACAUGGACAAGAAGGAUGAACAUUGAAGCAUGAUUAAGCACGGAGAUGAUGGCGUGCGCAAGGGCAACGAGAACAGAGUUUCUGGUGGAGUUUUUCAGCACUUUGGUGCCACCAUGAUGACAUCCAAGGACAUGGACAAAAUAAAAAAGAUGGCCUUUCAUAAAUUAAGCCCAUAACUUAAUAUAGGUGUCGCGUCACCUCAUGUUUGGGCCAGGCCUAUGUAAUGUCGAAAUACAAAUCGGUAGGAUAUUUUUAGAGUCCUUAUUGUAGUGGAAGUGACUCAGGAGGUGUUUUAGUACUGCCUUGCCAAGGGUGGGCAAAAUCCCCUCUCCUUUCCCCAAUAAAUACAACCCUUAAGGCAACGUUUAGACUUGGGUUUUGUUUAGAUUAAAAGCUCGCCAUAGCUGCAACUUCGCAUUCUUCAUUUGUGUUCUACGACCAGACCAAGACGUCACAGAACCCCACUUUCAUUAAUAAAACUUUUCUCUUAAUAUUCACAAUAUUUAGAUUGCAAUUUUAGUUUCUUGCUUGUUCUUUGUUUGCGUGCAGGAAAUAGACCUUCAUGGUCAGGUUGAUCGUGCUCCGGCGUGGUCAAUAACCUCUCGGAGUUGGUUUAGAGAUUGCUAAGGCGCGACGUGCUCGCACAUUCGUAGCUAGAUCGUCAAAGUCUACUUCACUGAAAACGAUAGUCACCACCUCAUCGAAAG
rnacentral:lncRNA from 1 species